UACGGAGGGUGCGAGCGUUAUCCGGAAUUACUGGGUUUAAAGGGUGCGUAGGCGGCCAAGUAAGUCAGGAGUGAAAGUUUGCGGCUCAACCGUAAAAUUGCUUUUGAUACUGCUAGGCUGGAAUUAGGAUGAGGUCAGCGGAAUGUGGCAUGUAGCGGUGAAAUGCAUAGAUAUGCCAUAGAACACCAAUUGCGAAGGCAGCUGGCUAGACCUAUAUUGACGCUGAGGCACGAAAGCGUGGGGAGCGAAC
rnacentral:rRNA from 1 species